rnacentral:lncRNA from 1 species
CGAUCAAAGCUCUUAACAAUGGCUUCCACCAUCUUCAUUCAAACUCCGUUUCAAUCCAAAUCUUUGAACAAAUCCUUGAAUACCCAUUUUGUUCCUUCCUUUAAACUCCCUGUUUCCCUCUCUUUCAAACCCCGGACCGCUGCCUUCUCCAAACGCGUCCAUAUCCGAGCUGGUUUGAUCGAACCGGACGGUGGGAAACUUGUCGACCUCCACGUGUCGAAACCGGAGCGGGAGUUGAAGAAGCGGGAAGCGGCUUCGUUGCCCAAGGUGAAGCUUACUCCGAUCGACGUGCAAUGGGUUCACGUUUUGAGUGAAGGCUGGGCUAGCC